AUUGAACGCUGGCGGCAUGCCUUACACAUGCAAGUCGAACGGCAGCACGGGAGCAAUCCUGGUGGCGAGUGGCGAACGGGUGAGUAAAGUAUCGGAACGUGCCCAGUCGUGGGGGAUAACGUAGCGAAAGUUACGCUAAUACCGCAUACGAUCUAUGGAUGAAAGCGGGGGAUCGCAAGACCUCGCGCGAUUGGAGCGGCCGAUAUCAGAUUAGGUAGUCGGUGGGGUAAAGGCCCACCAAGCCGACGAUCUGUAGCUGGUCUGAGAGGACGACCAGCCAGACUGGGACUGAGACACGGCCCAGACUCCUACGGGAGGCAGCAGUGGGGAAUUUUGGACAAUGGGCGAAAGCCUGAUCCAGCCAUGCCGCGUGCAGGAUGAAGGCCUUCGGGUUGUAAACUGCUUUUGUACGGAACGAAAAGGACUGCCCUAAUACGGUGGUCCCAUGACGGUACCGUAAGAAUAAGCACCGGCUAACUACGUGCCAGCAGCCGCAGUAAUAC
rnacentral:rRNA from 1 species